UACGGGGGGGGCAAGCGUUGUUCGGAAUUACUGGGCGUAAAGAGCUCGUAGGUGGUUUGUCGCGUUGUUCGUGAAAACUCACAACUCAAUUGUGGGCGUGCGGGCGAUACGGGCAGACUGGAGUACUGCAGGGGAGACUGGAAUUCCUGGUGUAGCGGUGGAAUGCGCAGAUAUCAGGAGGAACACCGGUGGCGAAGGCGGGUCUCUGGGCAGUAACUGACGCUGAGGAGCGAAAGCGUGGGGAGCAAACAGG
rnacentral:rRNA from 1 species